GAUGAACGCUGGCAGCGUGCCUAAUACAUGCAAGUCGAGCGAACAGACGAGGAGCUUGCUCCUCUGACGUUAGCGGCGGACGGGUGAGUAACACGUGGAUAACCUACCUAUAAGACUGGGAUAACUUCGGGAAACCGGAGCUAAUACCGGAUAACAUGUUGAACCGAAUGGGUCGACAGUGAAAGACGGCUUUGCUGUCACUUAUAGAUGGAUACACGUCGCAUGAGCUAGUUGGUAAGGUAACGGCUUACCAAGGCAACGAUGCGUAGCCGACCUGAGAGGGUGAUCGGCCACACUGUAACUGAGACACGGUCCAGACUCCUACGGGAGGCAGCAGUAGCGAAUCUUCCGCAAUGGGCGAAAGCCUGACGGAGCAACGCCGCGUGAGUGAAGAAGGUCUUCGGAUCGUAAAACUCUCUUAUUAGGGAAGCACAAAUGUGUAAGUAACUAUGCACGUCUUGACGGUACCUAAUCAGAAAGCCACGGCUAACUCCGUG
rnacentral:rRNA from 1 species